GUUAAGCGACUAAGCGUACACGGUGGAUGCCCUGGCAGUCAGAGGCGAUGAAGGACGUGCUAAUCUGCGAAAAGCGUCGGUAAGGUGAUAUGAACCGUUAUAACCGGCGAUGUCCGAAUGGGGAAACCCAGUGCAAUUCGUUGCACUAUCGUUAACUGAAUACAUAGGUUAACGAGGCGAACCGGGGGAACUGAAACAUCUAAGUACCCCGAGGAAAAGAAAUCAACCGAGAUUCCCCCAGUAGCGGCGAGCGAACGGGGAGCAGCCCAGAGUCUGAAUCAGCUUGUGUGUUAGUGGAACGGUCUGGAAAGUCCGACGGUACAGGGUGAUAGUCCCGUACACCAAAAUGCACAGGCUGUGAACUCGAAGAGUAGGGCGGGACACGUGGUAUCCUGUCUGAAUAUGGGGGGACCAUCCUCCAAGGCUAAAUACUCCUGACUGACCGAUAGUGAACCAGUACCGUGAGGGAAAGGCGAAAAGAACCCCGGCGAGGGGAGUGAAAAAGAACCUGAAACCGUGUACGUACAAGCAGUGGGAGCACCUUCGGGUGUGACUGCGUACCUUUUGUAUAAUGGGUCAGCGACUUAUAUUCUGUAGCAAGGUUAACCGUAUAGGGGAGCCGCAGGGAAACCGAGUCUUAACUGGGCGUUAAGUUGCAGGGUAUAGACCCGAAACCCGGUGAUCUAGCCAUGGGCAGGUUGAAGGUUGGGUAACACUAACUGGAGGACCGAACCGACUAAUGUUGAAAAAUUAGCGGAUGACUUGUGGCUGGGGGUGAAAGGCCAAUCAAACCGGGAGAUAGCUGGUUCUCCCCGAAAGCUAUUUAGGUAGCGCCUCGUGAACUCAUCUUCGGGGGUAGAGCACUGUUUCGGCUAGGGGGUCAUCCCGACUUACCAACCCGAUGCAAACUACGAAUACCGAAGAAUGUUAUCACGGGAGACACACGGCGGGUGCUAACGUCCGUCGUGAAGAGGGAAACAACCCAGACCGCCAGCUAAGGUCCCAAAGUCAUGGUUAAGUGGGAAACGAUGUGGGAAGGCACAGACAGCCAGGAUGUUGGCUUAGAAGCAGCCAUCAUUUAAAGAAAGCGUAAUAGCUCACUGGUCGAGUCGGCCUGCGCGGAAGAUGUAACGGGGCUAAACCAUGCACCGAAGCUGCGGCAGCGACACUAUGUGUUGUUGGGUAGGGGAGCGUUCUGUAAGCCUGCGAAGGUGACCUGUGAGGGUUGCUGGAGGUAUCAGAAGUGCGAAUGCUGACAUAAGUAACGAUAAAGCGGGUGAAAAGCCCGCUCGCCGGAAGACCAAGGGUUCCUGUCCAACGUUAAUCGGGGCAGGGUGAGUCGACCCCUAAGGCGAGGCCGAAAGGCGUAGUCGAUGGGAAACAGGUUAAUAUUCCUGUACUUGGUGUUACUGCGAAGGGGGGACGGAGAAGGCUAUGUUAGCCGGGCGACGGUUGUCCCGGUUUAAGCAUGUAGGCUGGUUGUCCAGGCAAAUCCGGAUAAUCAAGGCUGAGGUGUGAUGACGAGGCACUACGGUGCUGAAGUAACAAAUGCCCUGCUUCCAGGAAAAGCCUCUAAGCAUCAGGUAACAUCAAAUCGUACCCCAAACCGACACAGGUGGUCAGGUAGAGAAUACCAAGGCGCUUGAGAGAACUCGGGUGAAGGAACUAGGCAAAAUGGUGCCGUAACUUCGGGAGAAGGCACGCUGGUGUGUAGGUGAAGUCCCUGCGGAUGGAGCUGAGACCAGUCGAAGAUACCAGCUGGCUGCAACUGUUUAUUAAAAACACAGCACUGUGCAAACACGAAAGUGGACGUAUACGGUGUGACGCCUGCCCGGUGCCGGAAGGUUAAUUGAUGGGGUUAUCCGUAAGGAGAAGCUCUUGAUCGAAGCCCCGGUAAACGGCGGCCGUAACUAUAACGGUCCUAAGGUAGCGAAAUUCCUUGUCGGGUAAGUUCCGACCUGCACGAAUGGCGUAAUGAUGGCCAGGCUGUCUCCACCCGAGACUCAGUGAAAUUGAACUCGCUGUGAAGAUGCAGUGUACCCGCGGCAAGACGGAAAGACCCCGUGAACCUUUACUAUAGCUUGACACUGAACAUUGAGCCUUGAUGUGUAGGAUAGGUGGGAGGCUUUGAAGCGUGGACGCCAGUCUGCGUGGAGCCAACCUUGAAAUACCACCCUUUAAUGUUUGAUGUUCUAACGUUGGCCCCUGACCGGGGUUGCGGACAGUGUCUGGUGGGUAGUUUGACUGGGGCGGUCUCCUCCCAAAGCGUAACGGAGGAGCACGAAGGUUAGCUAAUCCUGGUCGGACAUCAGGAGGUUAGUGCAAUGGCAUAAGCUAGCUUGACUGCGAGCGUGACGGCGCGAGCAGGUGCGAAAGCAGGUCAUAGUGAUCCGGUGGUUCUGAAUGGAAGGGCCAUCGCUCAACGGAUAAAAGGUACUCCGGGGAUAACAGGCUGAUACCGCCCAAGAGUUCAUAUCGACGGCGGUGUUUGGCACCUCGAUGUCGGCUCAUCACAUCCUGGGGCUGAAGUAGGUCCCAAGGGUAUGGCUGUUCGCCAUUUAAAGUGGUACGCGAGCUGGGUUUAGAACGUCGUGAGACAGUUCGGUCCCUAUCUGCCGUGGGCGCUGGAGAAUUGAGGGGGGCUGCUCCUAGUA
rnacentral:rRNA from 1 species